UAUGGGGACAAACGCCGAGUAAAUUCUGGAAUCAUUUCUAUAAUGAAAGCCAGAAAGUGUUUGACCAAGGGAUGUACAUCAUAUUUAGUAUUCGUGAUUGAUGCUAAGAAGGAAAAGAAGGUGAUGCAGAGUAUUCCAGUGGUGUGUGAUUAUCCGGAAGUAUUUCCCGAAGAUCUUCCUGGAUUACCACCUGAUAGACAAGUGGAGUUCAGAAUUGACUUGUUACCAGGAACCACGCCAAUAGCAAAAGCACCUUAUCGAUUAGCACCGACGGAGAUGAAGGAGUUGAUGACGCAACUUCAGGAGUUAUUGGACAAAGGUUUCAUUAGACCUAGUUCAUCACCCUGGGGAGCUCCAGUGUUAUUCGUGAAGAAUAAAGAUGGAAGUAUGAGAAUGUGCAUCGAUUACAGAGAGCUGAACAAGGCAACAAUAAAGAAUAGAUAUCCGUUGCCGAGGAUUGAUGCCCUGUUCGAUCAACUACAAGGUUCAAGUUAUUUUUCAAAGAUCGACCUAAGGUCAGGAUAUCAUCAGCUAAAAGUGAGAGAGCAGGAUAUCGAGAAGACUGCAUUCAAAACUAGAUAUGGACACUACGAGUUCUUGGUUAUGUCGUUUGGACUAACCAAUGCUCUAGCAGCAUUCAUGGAUUUAAUGAAUAGGGUUUGUAAUCCGUUCCUUGAUAAAUCCGUGAUAGUGUUCAUAGAUGACAUUCUGAUUUACUCGAAAAGCCAAGAGGAGCAUUGUAGACACUUGCGAGAAGUGUUAGAAGUCUUGAAGAAGGAGAAGCGGUAUGCAAAGUUCUCCAAAUGUGAUUUUUGGAUUCGAGAAGUCCAAUUCAUGGGUCACGUGGUAAACCAAGAAGGGAUAAUGGUUGAUCCAGCAAAGAUUGAGGCUGUAAUGAAAAGGGAACAACCGAAAAGUCCCACGGAGAUCCGAAGCUUUUUGGGAUUAGCCGGAUAUCACCGAAGAUUUAUCCAAGGCUUUUCUUCGAUUGCUAGUCCAUUAACAGCUUUGACCCACAAAGGAGCUACUGAUGCUUGGAGUGAUAAGCAUAAAAAAGCAUUCGAGAAGCUAAAGAAUAAGCUAUGCGAGGCACCGAUACUUUCUCUACCUGAUGGAGUUGAAGACUUCGCUGUCUAUAGCGAUGGGUCUGGGGUUAGAUUGGGUUGUGUUUUGACCCAAAGAGAAAAGGUGAUCGCAUAUGCGUCCCGACAGCUGAAGGAGCAUAAAAAGAAUUACACGACUCAUGAUUUGGAGUUGGUAGCGGUAGUUUUCGCUCUAAAAAUAUGGAGGCAUUACAUCUAUGGCACAAAGUGCAAACUUUUCACUAAUCAUCAGAGUCUCCAAUAUCUCUUUAAUCAGAAAGAAUUGAAUAUGAGUCAACGACGCUGGCUGGAGUUACUCAAGGACUACGACUGUGAGAUACUUUACCAUCCCGGUAAAGCUAAUCUUUUCUCUGAUGCUCUAGUCAGAAAGUCAAUAUCGAAAGAAAGAGGCCAAGAGCGUUGAGAAUAGAGGUUGUCUCGACAAUUGUGGAGAGUAUAAAGAAAGCUCAAGAAGAAGCUUUAGAGAAGAAUGACCGAAAGGAGGAACGUUUGGAGUGUUCAAUAUAAACAGUCACGUAUUGAAGGUGUUCCAAGAUCGGAUUUUGGUACCUAAUUCCGGAGGAAUUAGAGAUCUUCUGAUGGAAGAAGCUCACAAAACCAUGUACGCGAUUCAUCCUAGUAGCACUAAAAUGUAUAAGGACCUGAAACCCUACUACUGGUGGCCAACGAUGAAGCUUGAUGUUGCAAAGUAUGUGGCCAAGUGUGUGACUUGUGCGAGAGUCAAGACACAACAUCAGAAACCAUACGGGAGUUUAGAAUCUUUACCUGCGUCUAUGGGUAAACGGGAAGACCUUGCAAUGGAUUUUGUCACUAAACUACCCAGAACAAAGAAUGGUCAUGACAUGAUUUGUACAUUGUUGGGCACCAAACCGCGGCCGNAUUCACUAAGAGUGCGCAUUUCAUAGCAGCCAGUGAGAAAUGGUCUAUGGAAAAGCUUGCGAAUUCUUACGUGAAGGAAAUUGUGACACUUCAUGGUGUUCCAUUAACAAUUGUGUCAGAUCGUGACAGCUAUUUCACCUCACGAUUUUGGAAAAGUCUACAAGAGGAAUUGGGUACCAAGUUGUGUUUAAGUAUAGCUUACCAUCCACAAACUGAUGGUCAGAGUGAAAGAACAAUACAAACACUUGAAGAUAUGCUAUGAGCAUGUACCCUGGAAUUCCUAGGUAACUGGGAUGAACAUUUACCUUUGGUAGAAUUUUCCUACAAUAAUAGUUUCCACUCGAGCAUAAGGAUGACACCUUAUCAAGCUUUGUACGGACAAAAGUGUCGUACGCCGUCUUGUUGGCGUGAGGCUAGAGAAUAGCAUUUUAUGGGACCCAAGAUGGUUCAUCAAACUGCUGAGAAGUUGAAAGUGAUCAGGGAAAGAAUGUCAGCAGCUCAUGAUCGUCAAAAGAGCUAUGCUGACAAGAAGCGAAGACCGAUGACUUUUGAAGUUGGGGAUUCGGUUUUACUUAAAGUCUCACCAUAGAAGGGACUUAUAAGAUUUGGUAAAAAGGGAAAAUUGAGUCCAAGGUUUAUUGGACCGUUUAAAGUUCUUCGGAGGAUUGGGAACCAAGCUUACAAGCUAGAACUACCAGAUGAACAGAAUGGUAUUCAUAAGACUUUCCAUGCAUGUUAUUUGGGGAAGUUCAUGGGAGAAUUUCCCGAUAUAAUUCUAAUUUCUUAAUUGAGAAUUGAUGAAAACAAGAGGUUAAUUGAAGAACCAGAGGCAAUUAUUGACCGAAAGACUAAGAACCUUCGACGCAAGAUGGUCAAAUUAGUGCUUGUCCGUUGGAAAGAUUCGAAUGGGCCAAAUCUCACUUAGGAAACGAAGAGUGACAUGUUGAGUCGCUAUCCGCAUUUGUUUGUUGAUGUGUGAUUCCGGGGACAGAAUCAUUCUAAGGUGGAGAGAGUUGCAACGCCCGCGUUUCCAGUCUAGGCAUUAUCAUUGAUGUAAUAGUCUAGGUUAACCGUUGUAACUCUUUUUGAAAUAUUUAUGAGGAAAUAUUUGAGUAUUAUGUGAAUUAUGUGUUUAUUUUCUUAAUUAUUAUAAUUCAAUUAAUUAAUAAUAAAAUAAGCGUCAAAUUUGAAGUGUGAGAUAACCCCCAUAUGUUUGCAUAAAGAUGUAGUGGUCGAAACAAGGAUUACGAAGAUAUAAAGAAUGCCAAAAUCCGAGUUAUAACGAAGAAAUUAUGACCUGUCGAAGUUUCGCGACAGAACCGGCAACGCUGAAUGACGUAAAAACUGAAAUUUACGUUAGAGCGAUAUUUAGCCUUAGUGAUCUAAACGAAAGUCAUAGAGUUCGUUAAACUGAGAGUGUGCAUAAAAAGAACGCCCAAAGCUGACUUCGUAUGAGAAAACUUAUGAUUUUUCUAAGUUUCGAGUUAGCAGUAUGCAACCCGAAUACUCAAUUUGAGACCGAAGGGUUUUUAGCCGAAACAAUCUAAACGAGAAUCGAAGAUCUCGUUAAUAGUAGUGAAACGAUAAAAAGAUAGGCGAAAACGGACGUCGGAUGAAUAAGUUAUGAAUUUAUAACGGAGUCUUCCUGUCUCGGCCUACUAAAAAUAUAUAAUAAAAAUAAAGUCAAAAUUAGCCAGCGGAGUCUAAACAAAAGUUGUGGAGCGUAGUCUCACCUACGUGGGGAUAUAAAGAACGUCGAAAACGAAGUUCGUAUGAGGAAGAUAUGAAUUUUUGAAGUUUAUUAAAUAUUUUCGAUAUUUAAUUUGAAUAUAAAAUAACCGAUAUUAUCCAUGGGGGGAGUUAGCGAGCUGAUCCACAUUACGCCUAGCGUAAAUCAGGUUUCAGCCCCCUCUAAAAGGAUGUCGAGGGCAGCCGAGUUCUUUGCUCAUUUCUUCCCUUUCUCUCGCGUUUUUGCAUCGUUUUUCAUGCAAGAAUUAUCCCGAAGCCUUGAUAUCAUUCCCGAGCCCCGAAGCAAGUCCCGAAACCCCGAAGAUCCCGAGAAGUGUGAUUCCCGAGCCGAAGCUCUGCCCGUGAGGAUUUCGGUUUUUGUGAAGAUCUUCCAGAUCUGCUGAAGAAUACUACUUCUACAAGCCAUAGUGCUAUCCGAUCAUCAUCAGAUCAAGUGAGUGUGUUGUUACUUUCUUCUAACGCAUAAUUAUGAAGUAUUUUAUAUAAAAUAUGUGUUAUGUGUAUAUUUUGUUGUUAUAUUUGUGAAUGUGUAUUCACUUUCUUCUAUCUCAUAGAUAUGAUUUAUUCUCUAUGAAAUACGUGUUUUCUGUAUGUGUCUCAUCUGUUGUUUGGAGUAUGUAUUGAAUGAGAAUGCUAUACAGGUUUUAAACUAUGUAUAAAAAUAUAUAUUUUUAUCUACUAAUAUGUCGGGUAGAACAUGGGUAGAUAGUUGUGUGAAAAACAGAUGAGAGGCCUCGAUGUUGUUUUUGAUUUAGUCAUCUAGCGGAGUUUAGAUGACGACCACAGACUUUUCUAGACAGUCAUGUGGAAUGCUAGCAGGUUCGCCACCUGUAGGUGUUAAUGAACUUGGGUGUUCAUUCGAUGUACUCCAUCCCCCUCAUGGUUGCCUUAUUUGACAUAUAUUGCCGGGAAACCCCCGAAUGCAUGUGUUGUCGCCCCGAUGAAAUAUUCUAAGACUAGGUCCCUUGUGUUAGUUGUUUUAGGGACGUAAAGUGAGAAUAACGGGAAUGGGUAAUUGGGUUAUUGUUGGUUGGUGGAAUUAAAUAUAAUUAUUUAUUAUGGGUUGAAAACCCUAUAUGCUCACCAGGCUCCCAAGCCUGACCCACUCAGUUUAUUUGUAUUACAGGAAGUGGCGCAAGGGCAUAAGAUGGAUGAAUCAUCAAGUUGUUUUGUUUACAAGUCUGUAUAUGUAUAUAUUUGUUGAAUGACUUGUAAUGUUAUCGUUUAUGCUUUAUGGUCUGUAUCGGAACAUGACAUCCCGAGUUUUGAUUAUAUAAUGAAAAUACAUUUCUUUAUGAAAUGCUUUGGUAAAUAUUAUUUUAUCACGUUUUGUUUUUUGGGAACAAAUUCCGCAACUGUUUUAAUCAGAGGAUUACUCUGAAAUCAUUUUAAAAGCAUAAAUUAAACCGGUAUUUUCUGGCCGUGAUUUUGGGGAUGUCACAGUUGGUAUCAAAGCAUUAGUUUAAGCGAACUAGGAAUUUGUAGGAUUUCUAGACUUAAACUUAAAAUGCUAAGUGAAAUUUUGAGAUGUGUGUCUGUUAUGUUUUAGACACGAGCACUAGUUUAUUUAAGGAAAGUUGCCUAAAAUGCUUUUAUGUGCUAAAUGUUAUAUGUUGCCAUAUAUGAAAUUAUUUGUUCGGAUCUAUGGUCUGUUGCCGACCGGAUCUGGAAACCUUAUGUGUGUAGGAUUCUAAGCGUACGUCUGUGAAUUUAGAACUAGCAUGUAAACGUUUCGGAGUGAUAAGGAUGAUUUGAAUAUCUGUCGUGAAUAAGGAUCUAAUUUCACCUUAUUCGGUGUAUAGAUCAAAAAUAGUGAGAAAAAGAAGUGGAGUUGGAAAUGCUGAUGAAAACAGGAAUCAACCACCAAUGAUUGAGCUAAUACCUGUCGUAGCAGCAACACCUGAGCUGAUAACAAUAACUGGUGUACAGUUGAUGAUUCGGACGAUGUUGGAUCGUCAGAUGGAUGAAACGAGACGUCUGCUUCAACAUAAUCGUGAAGAACUAUUAAUUCAAGUGGUAGAGCCCGAAGUGAAUGAAGGGCACUCUGAAGGUGGAAUCUUCAAUGGGUCUGUUGGUCAAGCCAACCCACCGAUAAUUAGGCAAAACAACCAGGAUAGAAGGAAUGAUGGAAUGGGAUGCAAGUACAAGGACUUUCUGACUUGCAAACCACCGACCUUCACUAGAAAGGAGGACCCGAUCGGAGUGAGGGAUUGGAUCUUCGAAAUGGAGUUAGCCUUCAUGACUUGUGGCUGCAGAGGCAAGUUGCAGACUACCUUUGUAGUGCGUCAGUUCCGAGGUGGAGCCGUUCGUUGGUGGAACACUCUAGGGAUGACUUUAAGCCCUAAUGAGCCACUGUAAUUGUCAUGGGCAGAGUUCUUGGUGCAGUUGAAGCGCAAGUUCUCCUCGGCUCAAAAUCUGUUGGAGUUGGAGAAUAAGUUUCUGACAUUGGCGAAAGGCAGCAUGUCAGUUGAUGAAUAUACUAAUAACUUUACAGAAAAGAUGGAGUUUGCUUUGCGCAUCGUUCCAGAUGAGAUGACAAAGGUUGACCGGUACGCAAAGGCACACUCAUGGGAGUACGCAGUGCCAGUUCAUCAGACACCUAGAGGCAGCUNAGUUCAUCAGACACCUACUCUAGAGGCAGCUAUUUGGGCUGCCAAGUUUGUUGAGGACAUGAUCAAGGGAAGAUCCGCCGACAAGGUUGAAGUUGGCGAGAAGAGAAAGUUUGAAGGAACAUUAGGUUCCAAUAAGAAAAGCAAAUUUUCGAAGUCUGAUUCGAAAAAGUUUGGAGGAAAAGGAGGCACAGCGAAAUUGUGUGAGAAGUGCAAGAAAAAGCACUUUGGGAAAUGUAGUGAGGAUGUCACUUGCUACAAGUGUUGAAAAAUUGGGAAUUUUUCCAAUGAGUUUCCGUCCAACAAAAGGAUGUGUUUUGGUUACAAUGAAGAGGGGCACAUUUUGAAAGACUAUCCGAACAAGAAGGAAGCAGCUAAGCCCAACAUUCCACCAAAGCCGAAAGCAAGAGCCUUCCAGAUGACACUUGAGGCUGCGAAAGACGAAGGUAAUGUCGCUUCAGGUACCUUUCUCGUAAACGAAUUACCUGCUCAAAUUUUGUUUGAUUCUGGAGCCAACUACUCCUUUAUUUCGCAUGAGUAUGGUAGAAAACUAGCUUUGCCUGUUGAUAGACUAGAUAAUGCUUUAUUAGUCGAAGUUGCUAGUGGCAAGUUUGAACCUGUUAGCCAUCGUAUGAAAAACAUCUUACUCGACCUUAAUGGGAAUAAGUUUCACGAGGAAUUAUUACCUAUCGAACUAAAUGGUUUCGACAUCAUGUUUGGAAUGGAUUGGCUUAACGCCAAUGAUGCCGAAAUUUUGUGCAGGAAGAAGAUAGUAAAAGUAAACCCGCCAAGGAAAGAGUCAUUUAUGGUGUAUGGGGACAAACGCCGAGUAAAUUCUGGAAUCAUUUCUGUAAUGAAAGCCAGAAAGUGUUUGACCAAGGGAUGUACAUCAUAUUUAGCAUUCGUGAUUGAUGCUAAGAAGGAAAAGAAGGUGAUGUAGAGUAUUCCAGUGGUGUGUGAUUAUCCGGAAGGAUUUCCCAAAGAUCUUCCUGGAUUACCACCUGAUAGACAAGUGGAGUUCAUAAUAGACUUGUUACCAGGAACCACGCCAAUAGCAAAAGCACCUUAUCGAUUAGCACCGGCGGAGAUGAAGGAGUUGAUGAUGCAACUUC
rnacentral:lncRNA from 1 species